rnacentral:lncRNA from 1 species
AAAACCUACAUUCUCGUAUGGUUGACACCUGGACUGUUGUAAAUGCUCCUGAAUCCUGUCUACUUAUAUGGACUAAUCUCAGAGCAUUCUGUAUAUUUGCCAGAAGAUGCACCUGGGUGGCUAUUGUCGUUAGCAGGUUUCUGUCCUAUAUAAAAGUAAGAAUGUUGUCUUAUGUAUCUAAUAUUGUCUUGCUAUCUUAUAGACAUUAAAUCUUACUGCAGUGGUUAUAAACUAAUUAGCACAUUGCAUGGUUUAAUUCACUGUUAAACUGCAAUAAGCAAAUUACUGAUUGCUAAUAUGUUCAAUAAUUAGGGUCAAGCUUGCUACGUGAUCUGCAUAGACUUCUUACCAAGUCUUUGAGUCAGCUUGGCUCCUAGAGUUGGAACCUGAAAGACCUGAAAGAUCAGUACUUAGAAAGUUUGAAUGAAAAGACCCGAGAUCAACUUGCUCAAGAGAUGGAAGAAAAAAUGGAUCAAAAGGUUAGGGAGAAUGUAAAGGCACUGGUGUCCAAGUUGGCAGAAAAGAAUCCAGAUCAACCUCAAGAUUGAUAUUGAAGACCUCGGUGUCGAGCCGACAUAAGAUGCCUCUGCAAGUGGAGCCAACACCGCCAACACGGAAACUACUUGAUUUGAUCCUUGAUGUACUUAAAAAAUCUAACCAUAUAUUGCAAAUUUUCACUUGUAAUGUAAUUAUGACUUGAGAAUUUAUGAACUUGAACUGCUAUUUCAGUAGGAUGGUUAGAUUAUGAUUGUUGCAAAACUUGGGUGAAUAAUUUAUGGUUAAAUCAGAAUUUGCAAUUGGUUGGCUUGAUUUGUUUUGGGAUGUUUCCUAUUAAAUCAAAAUUUGUUGUUGCAGAGUGAGUAAGAUGUUGCUUUUGGAUUAAUGGCAACAUCACACCUGUGUUGCUGAAAAAGGAACUGUGUCGCCAUAUAUUUAAUGGCAACACCCUCUUUGAUGUUGCUAUUAGAAAAACAAUGUAGCCAUAGACACCUAACACCACAAUUUUUGGGUGUUGCCAUAGCUUGUUAAAAUAUGUUGGNUUAACAUUUCACUGUCAUGUAUAAAUUUUGCACUCAAAUAUGGAUGAAUAUAUGUUUUAGGAACUACAAGAGCAUGUGAACAGCAGUAAAGUAGCCUAAACAGGACACAAAUUCUAAUAUUUGAAAAGUAAUUAAACCAAUUUCAACUUAAACAAAGCAUAUGAACAUAAACCCAACUCUUACAUAUGAACCCACUUAAAAACAAUAACACCAAAUUAAUCAAAAACCUAAUUAAACCCCUAAAUUAACAUACACAGAUUAACCCCUAAAUUAACAUACACACAUUAUUUAACCCAUAAAUUAAGAAGAUAACCCAGAAGAUACACACAAACUUAAUUAACAGCAAAUAUACAAAUUAAACACGAUAAAAUACAUAUACACAUGCACUCAAUCAAACAGAGUAUAGGUUAUUUGAGAAAAAUGAGAGUAUAGGGUAGUGUACCUUCUCUCUCGCCUUCUUUAUAUUCUCUUUCGCCUUCUUCUCGAUGGAUCGCCUUCUCCCUUCUCUAUCUUGCCUUCUCUUCGAUGAGAGUAUAUGUUUGUGAGUUAGUGUUAUACUGAGGUCUGAAGUAGUGUUUGGAUGUAUACUUUCUUUUUAGUGUAUAGUUCUCUUUUGUGUGUAUAUUUCAAUUAAACCGGCAAAAUAAUUUUCAUUAUCCCGCCACCGCUAUUUUCAUUGGCCCGCCAAUUUUUUGGCCCAAAAAUUAAGAUCUAUUGCAACGCCAAAUAAUAACAUUGCAAUAGUUAUACUCAUUUCAAAAUUAUUAACGAAAACGGUAAUCUAUUGUAACGAUUUUCUCGGCAUUGCAAUAUAUUGAUUUUCUUUUUUCAAAGGCAACGAUUUUGAGAUUAUUUUUUUUUGAGUGGUUGCAAUAGCCAAUCUAUGGUAUAGUGUCAGGAGAGAGAGUUAUGCAGGUAGUAUAUAUGUAACCAAACCACUGCAUUUUAUAUUUCUUAUUCUAUUGUAUGUGCAAGCAGAGCUUAUACAUUAUCGAAAUAAAGAUACAUCUAAAAACCCUUUUAUUAAUCUGAAAGGCUUCAUAAUAUGCUCCCCUUCAUGAUUUACAUUUCUGUUUUAAAUUUUGAGUCUACUAAGACUGAGACAAAUUAUAUUUAUAAGCUGAUUAUACCCUAGAUAACAAUGAUUAACUUUGUAUCAAAUGAGCUUACAAAUUGCAGGUUGGUAAUCUAGAAAUUGAUAAACUUCUUUUACUUUCCUUGAAAUCUUCCCUGGGAAAUAUAAAAUAAUUUUCUUCCACUCAAGUCAUAUUAUAAUAUCACAAACAUAUCAACUUGAAGAGGUAGGCUGACAUAAGUUAAUAUUGUAUUCUUUAUCUACUGUCAUCCCUGUACAUUCAAAAAACCUUUGGUUUAAUACUUUUUCAUAUGGUCAGGUCAACAAGGUAUGGACGGAGUUGGAAGGGUACAUAAAGAAGCUUGUACAUGCUGAAGUAUAUGUUGAGUCUAAAGAAGAAGACAAUGUGGAAGGAGCAAGUGCAAUGAACAGAACUAGUUUUCUUGGUCUCACUGGUGCUAAGGUAGAUACAAUAAACUAGUGUAAUGAAAAUAUUAAUGAACUAAUUCACAAAUUAGAAACUGAACAGAAAGCAACUCUUAAAGAAAAAUAAUUAGCUUCAGCUCUUGUUUUCUUUAGCAGUAGGGAAACUACCGCAUCUGCAGGUCAAAACCUACAUUCUCGUAUGGUUGACACCUGGACUAUUGUAAAUGCUCCUGAAUCCUGUCUACUUAUAUGGACUAAUCUCAGAGCAUUCUGUAUAUUUGCCAGAAGAUGCACCUGGAUGGCUAUUGUCGUUAGCAGGUUUCUGUCCUAUAUAAAAGUAAGAAUGUUGUCUUAUGUAUCUAAUAUUGUCUUGCUAUCUUAUAGACAUUAAAUCUUACUGCAGUGAUUAUAAACUAAUUAGCACAUUGCAUGGUUUAAUUUGUCAAGGAACCAGUUACUCUAAAACCUCAAGGUGUUAGAGAAUGGCCCUUUCCAGGAUCUUAUAUUCUAACAUUCCCCCUCACUCGAGAGCCCAUUUAUGGGUCGAAGAGUGGAUCACGGGCGCUCAUCUUUGGAGCAUUAAUUUGCCAUUCGUGCCACUAUAAAUUGUGAGAAUAUUGGGGGUGGCAGGGAUCGAACCUGAGUCCUCUGCCAGCCUGAGCUCUGAUACCAUGUCAAGGAACCAGUUACUCUAAAACCUCAAGGUGUUAGAGAAUGGCCCUUUCCAGGAUCUUAUAUUCUAACAUAAUUCACUGUUAAACUGCAAUAAGCAAAUUACUGAUUGCUAAUAUGUUCAAUAAUUAGGGUCAAGCUUGCUACGUGAUCUGCAUAGACUUCUUACCAAGUCUUUGAGUCAGCUUGGCUCCUAGAGUUGGAACCUGAACGACCUGAAAGAUCAGUACUUAGAAAGUUUGAAUGAAAAGACCCGAGAUCAACUUGCUCAAGAGAUGGAAGAAAAAAGGGANCAAGGUGUUAGAGAAUGGCCCUUUCCAGGAUCUUAUAUUCUAACAUAGUUGGAACCUGAACGACCUGAAAGAUCAGUACUUAGAAAGUUUGAAUGAAAAGACCCGAGAUCAACUUGCUCAAGAGAUGGAAGAAAAAAGGGAUCAAAAGGUUAGGGAGAAUGUAAAGGCACUGGUGUCCAAGUUGGCAGAAAAGAAUCCAGAUCAACCUCAAGAUUGAUAUUGAAUACCUCGGUGUCGAGCCGACAUAAGAUGCCUCUGCAAGUGGAGCCAACACCGCCAACACGGA